UACAGAGGUGGCAAGCGUUGUUCGGAAUUACUGGGCGUAAAGGGCGCGUAGGCGGCCUUCUAAGUCAGACGUGAAAUCCCCAGGCUUAACUUGGGAACUGCGUCUGAUACUGGGAGGCUUGAGUGCGGGAGAGGGAUGUGGAAUUCCAGGUGUAGCGGUGAAAUUCGUAGAUAUUGGGAAGAACACCGGUGGCGAAGGCGGCGCUCUGGACCGAGACUGACGCUGAGGCGCGAAAGCGUGGGGAGCAAACAGG
rnacentral:rRNA from 1 species